UAGCGUAUAUUAAUGUUGUUGCAGUUAAAAAGCUCGUAGUUGGAUUUCUGCGCCGCGCACGUUGUCCGCCGCACUGCGGUGUGAUGGGUGUGGAGCGUCGCAUCCUUGUGGAGACUGUUUCUGGCAUUAAUUUGUCUUGAUUCAGGAACCGCAUCGUUUACUGUGAAAAAUUAGAGUGUUCAAAGCAGGCUUAUGCCGUG
rnacentral:rRNA from 1 species